ensembl:lncRNA
CUCAGCUAAGCAGCUGUCAUAGAUCAACAUUGCUUCUUCAGCUCCCAGCUCUGGAUCCCUUAGUGUCAACUCCAUGAGAACACAGGGCCAAAUUCAGGUCCCACUCCUGGUGAUCUACAUGAUCUGCUAAGCAUUGGAGCUUCAGCUUUAUCAUUGUUGUGAGAUUUACAGCACUUCCUUCCAUCGUCAGCUUGCUAAUAGGCAGUGGUUGAACUCCCUGGAGUCUAAACUAGGAAAUAUGAGCAGUAUGUAAUUGCUAUGGCUGGAAUCGCAUUCCACUUCAGAAGCUUCUUAACAGCAUUCUCAGAUGUGUGAAUAUACAUUAGUGACCCAAGGGGAUUACUCCCUGGCACCAAGUUUACCUUUAUGAGGGGCCUGGAUGAUGAGACCUUCCCUCCCAUAAGCAGAAGGUA